AAGAGUGCUUCAUCAUCAAAUACCAAAAGAGUUGAUUAUUACAAUAACCACUAUAAAUUAAUAAUGUUGGGAGCAUGAUAUUUUAUUAAUUUAUAGUGAUAUAAAUUUAUCUAUAAAUUAAUAUUUAUUAUUUUAUAAUUUUAAUUAGUAAUAAUCAUUAAUUUAUAGUGGUAGGUCUAGGCAAAAAAAAAAACAGAAAACAAAAAUCCAUACCUAAAUGAAUCUGAAAACUUUGAUCCGAAUUUGAAAUUAUACAUUUGUCCUAUUAGAUCCUAAACUCUUCUACCCAACAGACCCAAACUCAAACAUUUUGUGUACUUGAACAUGACCGGAGUACCCAAAUGUCAUGGCCCAA
rnacentral:lncRNA from 1 species